rnacentral:rRNA from 1 species
CCGGUGGUUCUGAAUGGAAGGGCCAUCGCUCAACGGAUAAAAGGUACUCCGGGGAUAACAGGCUGAUACCGCCCAAGAGUUCAUAUCGACGGCGGUGUUUGGCACCUCGAUGUCGGCUCAUCACAUCCUGGGGCUGAAGUAGGUCCCAAGGGUAUGGCUGUUCGCCAUUUAAAGUGGUACGCGAGCUGGGUUUAGAACGUCGUGAGACAGUUCGGUCCCUAUCUGCCGUGGGCGCUGGAGAACUGAGGGGGGCUGCUCCUAGUACGAGAGGACCGGAGUGGACGCAUCACUGGUGUUCGGGUUGUCAUGCCAAUGGCACUGCCCGGUAGCUAAAUGCGGAAGAGAUAAGUGCUGAAAGCAUCUAAGCACGAAACUUGCCCCGAGAUGA